rnacentral:rRNA from 1 species
CCUACGGGUGGCAGCAGUGGGGAAUAUUGGGCAAUGGAGGAAACUCUGACCCAGCAAUGCCGCGUGAAUGAAGAAGGUCUUCGGAUUGUAAAGUUCUUUAGUCAGGGAAGAAUAAAAUGACGGUAUCUGAAGACUAAGCUCCGGCUAACUACGUGCUCGCAGCCGCGGUAAUACGUAGGGAGCAAGCGUUGUUCGGAAGGACCGGGCGUAAAGGGUGCGUAGGCGGUUAUACAAGUAAGAUGUGAAAUACCCAGGGCUUAACUCGGGUGCUGCUACUAAAACUGUAAGGCUUGAGUGCGGUAGAGGUGAGUGGAAUGCCUAGUGUAGCGGUGGAAUGCGUAGAUAUUA